rnacentral:rRNA from 1 species
GAUGAACGCUAGCUACAGGCUUAACACAUGCAAGUCGAGGGGCAGCAUGGUCUUAGCUUGCUAAGGCCGAUGGCGACCGGCGCACGGGUGAGUAACACGUAUCCAACCUGCCGUCUACUCUUGGACAGCCUUCUGAAAGGAAGAUUAAUACAAGAUGGCAUCAUGAGUCCGCAUGUUCACAUGAUUAAAGGUAUUCCGGUAGACGAUGGGGAUGCGUUCCAUUAGAUAGUAGGCGGGGUAACGGCCCACCUAGUCUUCGAUGGAUAGGGGUUCUGAGAGGAAAGUCCCCCACAUUGGAACUGAGACACGGUCCAAAACUCCUACGGGAGGCAGCAGUGAGGAAUAUUGGUCAAUGGGCGAGAGCCUGAACCAGCCAAAGUUAGCGUGAAGGAUGACUGCCCUAAUGGGUUGUAAAACUUCUUUUAUAAAGGAAUAAAGUCGGGUAUGGAUACCCGUUUGC